GGGCCUCUAGCUCAAUGGUAGAGCUCCGGACUUUUAAUCCGUAGGUUGUGGGUUCGAAUCCCACGGGGCCUACCA
rnacentral:tRNA from 1 species